CAUAAAACGAUAGGUCGCGAUUUCCGCCGCGCUCGAUUUCGCGAGAUCAAGGUCGGGUCCAAGGAAGUCUUCGGGAAGAUUGGGCAAGAGAGAGUCGUGGCUGCACCCGAAAUUGCACGAAGAGCCAGCGGUCAAAUUAACGUCUCGUAAUCAUCCAAUCGGUCGAAAAGGUUCGCGGGAAAUCCGAAUUGAAUUCGGCGAGGUCACGUUCCUUAAUCUGAGGAUCACGGUUUCGCUCACUUUCGUCCGAACCGCAGAUAACAGUGGAAGUGUCUUGCUUUGUUCGUGUUUCGUAAUUUAAUUUUUCAAGUAGUGCAAGUAAAUAUAGUGUGCGUCGUAGGCUAGAUUUGUGCGUCUAAAAUCAAUCUAGGCCAGCCGACGGCUAUAUCUCUUCCAAGCGCCAGGUCAGCGGAAACCCCGG